UCAUUCUUCCAGUAGACAGCGUACGAAGAUGGUCGGCUCAGACAAGACGGAUUCUGAUCACAGAGAUGAAACAUCAUGGACUUCUCAGUCUCCAGACAGACCAAGUCAGCUCAGCUUUCCUUCCGGUCUCUAUUGCAGAAAGGACGGUUCCGUACUGCUUGGAUUGCGUGUGUUCGCCAGCAAAGAACAGCGGGGGUUCAGCCUCUCCAAGAGUACCCCAGUCUCCUGCCUUUAUUCCUAUGUGAUAACAACACAUGGCAGACAAAAACUGAUGAAACAGUGACACCUAAACAACACACAGGUGUUAUAAAUUCUUACCUAAAGCUGGGAAAGAAUACGAGCCCUUGGAGAAUGGGUCACUCUUCCACUUCGUGCGGGACGUAUUCACAACACUGACCAAAUCCACGACCGGGCCAAAGGCCGUGCGCAAGCGACGUAAGGCUGUAAAUAAAUUAGAAAUGGACUUAUGUGAAAUUAGAUUGCGAGACAUUUUGAAUCGUUUUGUGAGAUGAGGCUGUGAGGGCAACGCAUAUAAUUGUAACAUUUGAUUCAAGACAAGAUAAUAUAAACAGUGUUGACCAUCAUGACACUGUGCCUGCUGCAUUUUUAAAGCAGUUCAGAAAUGAACUCUAUUGUUUUAAUGUGACCCUUUUCACGCAUAUUAAUACUUAUAAGGAAAGUGUAUACCAUGUUUCAGAGUAAAAUGUUAUAUGAUUUCCCAAGUAUAUAAAUUUGUAUGUAUAUUAAUAUACCCAUGAAAUUGUGUCUUACAUCAUAAUGCUGUCCGCUGUCGUGUAGGAGAAUGGCGUAUAACACCAGU